UACGAAGGGGGCGAGCGUUGUUCGGAAUCACUGGGCGUAAAGGGCGCGUAGGCGGCCCUCCUAGUCGCGUGUGAAAGCCCCGGGCUCAACCUGGGAACGGCGCGCGAAACGGGGGGGCUGGAGUUCGGGAGAGGAGGCGUGGAAUUCCCAGUGUAGAGGUGAAAUUCGUAGAUAUUGGGAAGAACACCGGUGGCGAAAGGCGGCGCUCUGGACCG
rnacentral:rRNA from 1 species